rnacentral:tRNA from 1 species
AGUCAUGUGGCCGAGUGGUUAGGUGCGGGUCUGCAAAACCCUUGACGACGGUUCGAAUCCGUCCAUGACGU